CGCGCGCCCUCCCCUCCCCGCGGAGGCUCCCAGAGCCCGUGCCCGGCAGGUCCUCUCCGUGAACUCGCCGCGUCCUCAGGACCUGCGAUUUCCAGCCCUUCCCGGUUUCCACCUGAGUGUGAGCAAAUGAAGCCUCCCUCCUGCAGCCCGAGCCAGCGCUCAGCGCAGCCCCUGACCCCUGGCUCCUGGCAACCUGCUUCAGCCAAAAUCUUAAGAAGCUUUAUUACUUUUAUUUAAAAUGAUGCAUGCUCAUUAUAACAUUAUUAAACUUAGGAAGAAAAAAAAUUCUAAGCGCAGCGCCCUCCAAUACGACCAUUAGACGCAUGGAUAAGUAACUGACACGUGGACAUUAUAACAAUGAAAUCCUACUCUGACGCUGAGGUUUUGAACACUGCCAUUCUCACUGGAAAGCCUGUUUCAGUUCCUGUCAAAGUCGUGAGGGUCCAGGAGGAUGGUUCUGUGGUCUAUGUGUCUGAGUCUGUGGAAUGCAAGUCUGCCAAUGAAGAUGUCAUUAAGGUCUUCAGCAUUAACAUCUCCAUCUCUUGAACUAGUGAUCUGCCCACCUCGCACUCCCAAAGUGCUGGGAUUAUAGGCGUGAGCCGCCACGCUGGGCCUUGGCUUGCAGUUUUGAUCUCAGGAUUGGUAUGACUUUGGAGAAGACAGAAGACACAAUUGUUAAAGAGUCCAGAAUCUGGGAGAAUAAAAUAAUUUUCAGAGACUGGAACCUCAACCUAGUCUGGCAGGUGGAAGAAGGAUAAAAAGUUCUACUCUUAGUUUAAGAAAGUUUUCAUUAAUUUCAAAAUAUGCAGCAUAACAGCAACAUCUGUGUGAAAAAAUCUUGGCAUCUUUAUAAAUAGUAAGAGCCAAUGAAUCAAAUGAAGCGGCCACCAUGAGGCUGAUGUGAUCUUCGUCAGCAUUAAUCAGAGCGUGGUCCCAGCACAGGCAACGCUGCUGUACUUCAUGCCAGAUCUGGUCCAGAAGGGUUGUGUGUGUGUGUUUGACUUUUUAAAAUUUGAAUCCAUUUCCAGCAUGCAAACAUUGUUAAGUUCACAUCUGGAUUCCGAGCUCCUCUUGAAACACCAUGUGGUCAGGUUGUCCUGCGCCCAUACUCCUGCCUGUCAUCAUCAUCUGUAGUGGACCAGUUGUCUACAGAGGCUCUCCACUCCCCACCACUCCAACUCACUGUAAUCUCCACCACUCCCUCUUGCCUUCCACACUGAGGGUGAGGGGCACUUGUCAUUUCUUGUCACAUUUGUGCUACUGGCUUUCUGACAGCAGAUUUCAGAGUGAUGUGAGAUAUUUCUUUUACACUGGUCUCCAUCAAAAAUGAGCAACAGAUGAUAGCCCUCACUCUGUCACUCCAACAGAGAAUUCUUUCUAGGUCAUAAGCAGAACAAUGGGAAGUCAGAUUGUGUUCUGCUGAAGAGUGUCCAUGGGCUGAAGGCUUUUGAAAUCAAAUCACAGUAGAAUUGCCUGAAGGAAGUGAGAGUGUAUAGCCUGAUGCCGAGAAGAAAAAGCCUGGGGGUAACAUACAGAGUGAGAACUGACAGCUCUUUUUAAGUCUUUCAAGGGCCGUCAUGUGGAAGAUGGAGUAGGUUUGUGCUUUUUAUAUUCCAACAGGGGAAGUUAAAAAGGAACCAUUUUUAGCUUACUUUAAGGAAAAAGAAUGCAGAGCCACUGAAUUCUUUGGUUAAGCUUUCAGACAGAUAAUGUUGGUCCAAAUCCUGGUUCUAUCUUCUAUGUAUUUGAUCUUGGGAAAAAUUACUUAAAUUUCCCCAAGCCCAGUUUCCUCAUUUGUAAAAUGGGAAUGACAAUGCUGAGGCGCAGAGCUACCCUUUCUAGAGAUCUGUUCUAAUGACAGUCCACGAAGCAGAACUGACACUCAUCCAAGAAAUCCUUGAAAAUGUUUUGGAGAACAUCUAGGCUUUUAGAGGUUCCCAGGCCAAUUGGUUUUUGUCUUUGCUUUAAUUUCUUCUUGUAUUUGACCCAUGUGCAAAUUUUAUGGGGCAGUGUAUGGUCCUCACCAUACACUGGUUUUACAGGCAGUAUUGAAUGGAGUCAUAGAUAAGAAAGAUUUGGAAGACAAUGAAGGAGGCCCAGCAAGCAGAUUUGAGAGAUUGUGCUCUGUACUUGUGCAAUCUAAUUGUGUCCUGUUAGAAAGGAGAUGUCCUGGGAAACUCAAAUUAAGGUGAGCAGCAGCCUCUUCUUGUAGUUCAGGUGGACAGAACACAGCCACUGAGGCCUGGCAUCUUGUAAGCACUGUGAAAACCGUACUCUCCUGCCAAUCACUGUAUUUUACAGCGUUUUGCACAAUUCUGUGUCCUUCACUCAGUUGGGCCUCCUCCAGGGCAUAAGCUCUCUGAUUCCCUCUGUGUCCCCAGAGUCCUGCCCAGAUCCCACCACAUAACAUCACUGGCCCUGAGCCAGGCCUGAGAAUUAGCCUCAGGCUCUGUAAACUCUGUGCCCUUUAAAAUGGUGACUUGUCCUUUCUGGGCUAUGUCUCUUCAAAGUGGGCACAGAUCAGAUCUCUGAGGUCUCAUUCAGCACCAGGACGUUAAGAUUCUAUGAUGGAGGUGUGUGUUGAAUGAGAUGGGAAGGGAAGCUGUGCAGUGGUCCCUGUUCUGCCCACCCUGCCCCUGAGGUCCACACUUGCUGGGAGGCCUGGACAUUUCAUCAGUUACAGGAUGAGUGCUGGCCAAACCACCAUGGAGAGAUGAAGAAAUGGCACAUCCAAGCCAUGGUCCAACCACAGAGGCCAGAUCAACAUAUGUGAAUAAGGAUUGAUAAAAAGAAAUACAGCCAAGCGCAAAGCAUCACAAUCACACCUCAAAAGGCUGGGCUAGGGAGGUCUUUUGGAAAUGGGGGCUGAGAGUGACUUCCAGUGCUGGUGAGGGAAGGGAGGGGCUCACGGGGCCUGCCAGUUGCCAGCUGUAUGAUCCUGGACAACCUACUUCAUCUCAUUUACUCUGAAUCAUUCUUGCAUGUCUACAAUGUUCCAGGCCCCAUCCAUGACCCUGGACUUCAGAAAGUCUGAUAAGGCAACAAUCUUGUCUUCCAAGGACAUGCAUUACAGUCCAGAAAAGGCAGAGAAGUGUUAAUGAAUCAGUCUUAGCGUGUGAAGAUACAAAAACGGCUCAAGGUUCCUCAAGUCCCGGGGUCCAUGGACUUAUUCACCUUUUACUCUCUGUGAUAAUUAUUUGACUUUGCACAUGUAUUAUUUAUAGUACUCUAAAGGAUAUGUAAACAACUUUUACCAUGGACACUACCCCAGACUGUGCUGCUGUAUUCGAACAGUCACACAUGCAGUCGUGUUCACUGUCAUCCUGGGGUGCACAUGGACUAGGGCUGUGUCCCAUAGAGUUUAACUCCUGAAAAUUCAACUGUAUGCUUUGAGCCCAAAUUCAUGCACAUAUGUGAGAUGAAUAUAUGGAUAUAUGUAUAUAAAUUCAUAUAUAAUUAAGUAUA